CGAUUCUGGCUCAGGAUGAACGCUGGCGGCGUGCCUAAUACAUGCAAGUGAAACGGGUAUCUUCGGAUACCAGUCGCGGACGGGUGAGUAAUACAUAGGCAACCUGCCUUUAUGAGGGGGAUAACCGAGGGAAACUUUGGCUAAUACCGCAUGAAGACUCUAAGGCAUCUUAGAGGGAUAAAAGUUGGGAAACAACGCAUGAAGAUGGGCUUAUGGCGCAUUAGCUAGUUGGUGAGAUAGAAGCCCACCAAGGUAAUGAUGCGUAGCCGACCUGAGAGGGUGAACGGCCACAUUGGGACUGAGACACGGCCCAAACUCCUACGGGAGGCAGCAGUAGGGAAUUUUCGGCAAGUGGGGGGAACCCUGACCGAGCAACGCCGCGUAGAAGGAAGAAGGUUUUCGGAUUGUAAACUUCUGUUAUAAGGGAAGAACGGAUUGGAUAGGGAAUGAUCUGAUAGUGACGGUACCUUAUUAGAAAGCCACGGCUAACUACGUGCCAGCCGCCGC
rnacentral:rRNA from 1 species